rnacentral:rRNA from 1 species
GUCCACGCUGUAAACGAUGAGUGCUAAGUGUUAGAGGGUUUCCGCCCUUUAGUGCUGCAGCUAACGCAUUAAGCACUCCGCCUGGGGAGUACGGCCGCAAGGCUGAAACUCAAAGGAAUUGACGGGGACCCCGCACAAGCGGUGGAGCAUGUGGUUUAAUUCGAAGCAACGCGAAGAACCUUACCAGGUCUUGACAUCCUCUGACAAUCCUAGAGAUAGGACGUUCCCCUUCGGGGGACAGAGUGACAGGUGGUGCAUGGUUGUCGU